ensembl:misc_RNA
UGGUCUUUUUGUCCUUUACCACCCGGUUUCCUCUCCUCCCUUUUUCAGCUGCUGUUACUACGCAGAGUUUGGAACCUAAGCUUUGAAAACUCUCAUAAGGCGCCUGUCUAAAGUCAGAGCAUGCUUAGUA